UACGUAGGGUGCGAGCGUUGUCCGGAAUUAUUGGGCGUAAGGAGCUUGUAGGCGGUCUGUCGCGUCUGCUGUGAAAAUCCGGGGCUCAACCCCGGACUUGCAGUGGGUACGGGCAGACUAGAGUGUGGUAGGGGAGACUGGAAUUCCUGGUGUAGCGGUGGAAUGCGCAGAUAUCAGGAGGAACACCGGUGGCGAAGGCGGGUCUCUGGGCCGAUACUGACGCUGAGGAGCGAAAGCGUGGGGAGCGAACAGG
rnacentral:rRNA from 1 species